GUGUCAGCCGCCGCGGUAAGACGAACUGUGCGAAUGUUAUUCGGAAUCACUGGGCCUACAGGGUGCGUAGGCGGCCUGUUAAGUAGGGUGUGAAAUCCCCCGGCCCAACCGGGGAAUUGCGCUCUAAACUAGCAGGCUUGAGUAAGCUAGGGGUGCACGGAACUUCCAGUGGAGCGGUGAAAUGUGUUGAUAUUGGAAGGAACACCGGAGGCGAAAGCGGUGCACUGGGGCUUAACUGACGCUGAGGCACGAAAGCCAGGGGAGCGAACGGGAUUAGAUACCCCGGUAGUCCUGGCCGUAAACGAUGGGUACUAGUCGGUAGAGCCUUCGGGUUUUACUGGCGGAGCGAAAGCGUUAAGUACCCCGCCUGGGGAGUAUGGUCGCAAGGCUGAAACUUAAAUGAAUUGACGGGG
rnacentral:rRNA from 1 species